CAUGCACCGGUGGGGUCCCUUGGCCUGGCCUGCACCCUCUUGCAAUCUGGGACCCUUCAAGGGAUGUUGGAGAGCCGGUUUUGGCCCGAUACUGCAGGCCAGGCCAAGGGACCCCACUGGUGCACG
rnacentral:pre_miRNA from 1 species